AUUGAACGCUGGCGGCAGGCCUAACACAUGCAAGUCGAACGAGUGGCGGACGGGUGAGUAAUUUCUGGGAAACUGCCUGAUGGAGGGGGAUAACUACUGGAAACGGUAGCUAAUACCGCAUACCAUCAGAUGUGCCCAGAUGGGAUUAGCUAGUUGGUGGGGUAACGGCUCACCAAGGCGACGAUCCCUAGCUGGUCUGAGAGGAUGAACGGCCACACUGGAACUGAGACACGGCCCAGACUCCUACGGGAGGCAGCAGUAGGGAAUAUUGGGCAAUGGGCGAAAGCCUGAUGGAGCCACGCCGCGUGUAUGAAGAAGGCUUUCGGGUUGUAAAGUACUGUCAGCGGGGAGGCGUUACCCGAAGAAGAAGCAACGGCUAACUCCGUGCCAGCAGCCGCGGUAAUAC
rnacentral:rRNA from 1 species